GACUGUGCUAAGGUAGCAUAAUAAAUUGGCCUUUAAUUGAGGUCGGGUAUGAAUGGGUAUACGAAUAGAUUCUGUCUUAUGAAAAAUUUUAUGAACUUUCUAAGGAGGUGAAAAUUCCUUUAUGUAUACGAUAGACGAGAAGACCCUUAGAGUUUUUAAUAGAAAGAACUUAUUUUUCUCUUCUUUUUUGUUGGGGCGACAUAGAAGCAAAGUGAUUGAACCUUCUUUGAUGAAUUUGAACAAGUGAAUAAUUAUGUAUGAAAAAACUACCUGAGGGAUAACAGCAUAAUUUAUUAAUAAGAUUGUGACCUCGAUGUUGGACUAGGA
rnacentral:rRNA from 1 species